GUAGGGUCCGAGCGUUGUCCGGAAUUAUUGGGCGUAAAGGGCUCGUAGGCGGUUUGUCGCGUCGGGAGUGAAAACUCAGGGCUCAACCCUGAGCGUGCUUCCGAUACGGGCAGACCAGAGGUAUGCAGGGGAGAACGGAAUUCCUGGUGUAGCGGUGGAAUGCGCAGAUAUCAGGAGGAACACCGGAGGCGAAGGCGGUUCUCUGGGCAUGACCUGACGCUGAGGAGCGAAAGCAUGGGGAGCGAACAGGAUUAGAUACCCUGGUAGUCCAUGCCGUAAACGUUGGGCGCUAGGUGUGGGGACCUUCCAAGGUUUCCGUGCCGCAGCUAACGCAUUAAGCGCCCCGCCUGGGGAGUACGGCCGCAAGGCUA
rnacentral:rRNA from 1 species